rnacentral:rRNA from 1 species
UACAGGGGGGGGCUAGCGUUACUUAACGUUACUUGGCGUAAAGGGCACGUAGACGAUUUUUGUUAGUUGAGUCUGAAAUCUUUGUUUGACAAAGACAGGGCUUAAAACUAGAAAACUAGAGUUUAUUAGGGGAUAGUGGAAUUUCUAAUGUAGUGGUACAAUGCGACGAUAUUGGAAGGAAUGUUCAAGGUGAACACAGCUAUCUAGUUUAAACUGACGUUGAGGUGCGAAGGUAUGGGGAUCAAGCGGG